ensembl:lncRNA
AGCGUGGCCACUGAGUGACGUAACGUAACAGCCAAUCAGCUUUCAACCGGCCAACCGUUCCCUGCAGUGCCGUGCGGGUGAACCGCAGCAUGGAGGAGAAGGGAUUGUUGCCGUUUGCACUCCCGGAGCUCUAUCUAUAAUAGUUUAUAAUAUGAUAUAAAUGUAAUAUAUAAUAUUACGGCCAGAAGCUGUGUGAGCCUCCGGACGGCCGUAGCGCGUCGGGAUUGGGCUUCGAGGGGUUUGUUUACCGGCGUUGCUAUGGUUACCGCCGGUCCUGUGUGUUCCAACGGUUUAUUAGCGGUGGUAUCUAAUAAAUCGCGGUCUAAUCAAUACUUCAUUCACUGCCUCUUCCGUGGUCAUUACGAUAUUAUGGGCCGACUGCGUCUGGUUCUCCGCCGUCCCUCCCUUUUCCACAACAGACUCACCGUCACCCUGGAUAGAGGGGAGAGAGCACUUACUGGAUGAACUCGAUGAGGGUUUUGUCCAAGUUAUUAAAUCAAUCGCGUCAUUAACAUUCAUUUCAAAAACACCCUCUGCUUCUGUGAUUCAUAUUGUGGUCUACCAAGUUGUGUUCAGGUUUCUAUUGUCGUCUAUUGAGGUCAUGCUUCUAUGUGGUCUGUUAAGGUCAGGUCUCAGGGUUGUGUGUACGUAACGAAGACCGUAAGAUAAGCAGUUCUCUGUUUGUUCAGGAUGUUCUUUUACAUUCAACAGAUGAAUUGACACUUCAGGGCUGGAUGCUUCACAACAAGAGUCUCUACCGUGUUUCUACCACUAAGAAGGGCUGGAGGGCCAGUAGAGAAGACUGUCAGAAGAGAAAGGCAGACCUGGUGGACAUCAACAGCAGAGAAGAAC